UACGUAGGGGGCAAGCGUUGUCCGGAUUUAUUGGGCGUAAAGCGCUCGUAGGCGGCUCGUUGCGUCGGCUGUGAAAACCCGCAGCUCAACUGUGGGCUUGCAGCUGAUACGGGCGGGCUGGGAUUCGGUAGGGGAGACUGGAAUUCCUGGUGUAGCGGUGAAAUGCGCAGAUAUCAGGAGGAACACCGGUGGCGAAGGCGGGGUCUCUGGGCCGAUAUCGACGCUGAGGAGCGAAAGCGUGGGGAGCGAACAGG
rnacentral:rRNA from 1 species